CAGUCGAACGAAGCACUUUAAUUGAUUUCUUCGGAAUGAAGUUUUUGUGACUGAGUGGCGGACGGGUGAGUAACGCGUGGGUAACCUGCCUCAUACAGGGGGAUAACAGUUGGAAACGACUGCUAAUACCGCAUAAGCGCACAGGAUUGCAUGAUCCAGUGUGAAAAACUCCGGUGGUAUGAGAUGGACCCGCGUCUGAUUAGCCAGUUGGCGGGGUAACGGCCCACCAAAGCGACGAUCAGUAGCCGACCUGAGAGGGUGACCGGCCACAUUGGGACUGAGACACGGCCCAAACUCCUACGGGAGGCAGCAGUGGGGAAUAUUGCACAAUGGGGGAAACCCUGAUGCAGCGACGCCGCGUGAGCGAAGAAGUAUUUCGGUAUGUAAAGCUCUAUCAGCAGGGAAGAAGAAUGACGGUACCUGACUAAGAAGCACCGGCUAAAUACGUGCCAGCAGCCGCGGUAAUACGUAUGGUGCAAGCGUUAUCCGGAUUUACUGGGUGUAAAGGGAGCGCAGGCGGUACGGCAAGUCUGAUGUGAAAUCCCGGGGCUCAACCCCGGUACUGCAUUGGAAACUGUCGGACUAGAGUGUCGGAGGGGUAAGUGGAAUUCCUAGUGUAGCGGUGAAAUGCGUAGAUAUUAGGAGGAACACCAGUGGCGAAGGCGGCUUACUGGACGAUUACUGACGCUGAGGCUCGAAAGCGUGGGGAGCAAACAGGAUUAGAUACCCUGGUAGUCCACGCCGUAAACGAU
rnacentral:rRNA from 1 species